rnacentral:tRNA from 1 species
ACCUGGCUGGCUCAGUCAGUAGAGCGUGUGACUCUUAAUCUCAGGGUUGUGAGUUCGAGCCCCACAUUGGGUG